rnacentral:rRNA from 1 species
AUUGAACGCUGGCGGCAGGCUUAACACAUGCAAGUCGAGCGAGCGGCGGACGGGUGAGUAAUGUAUGGGGAUCUGCCUGAUGGAGGGGGAUAACUACUGGAAACGGUUGCUAAUACCGCAUACUAUCGGAUGAACCCAUAUGGGAUUAGCUAGUAGGUGGGGUAAAGGCUCACCUAGGCGACGAUCGCUAGCUGGUCUGAGAGGAUGAUCAGCCACACUGGAACUGAGACACGGUCCAGACUCCUACGGGAGGCAGCAGUGGGGAAUAUUGCACAAUGGGCGCAAGCCUGAUGCAGCCAUGCCGCGUGUAUGAAGAAGGCCUUCGGGUUGUAAAGCACUUUCAGCGGGGAGGCGUUACCCGCAGAAGAAGCACCGGCUAACUCCGUGCCAGCAGCCGCGGUAAUUC